rnacentral:rRNA from 1 species
AGUGAACGCUGGCGGUAGGCCUAACACAUGCAAGUCGAACGGCAGCACAGUAAGAGCUUGCUCUUACGGGUGGCGAGUGGCGGACGGGUGAGGAAUACAUCGGAAUCUACUUUUUCGUGGGGGAUAACGUAGGGAAACUUACGCUAAUACCGCAUACGACCUACGGGUGAAAGCAGGGGAUCUUCGGACCUUGCGCGAUUGAAUGAGCCGAUGUCGGAUUAGCUAGUUGGCGGGGUAAAGGCCCACCAAGGCGACGAUCCGUAGCUGGUCUGAGAGGAUGAUCAGCCACACUGGAACUGAGACACGGUCCAGACUCCUACGGGAGGCAGCAGUGGGGAAUAUUGGGCAAUGGGCGCAAGCCUGAUCCAGCCGUACCGCGUGGGUGAAGAAGGCCUUCGGGUUGUAAAGCCCUUUUGUUGGGAAAGAAAAGCAGCAGGUUAAUACCCCGCUGUUCUGACGGUACCCAAAGAAUAAGCACCGGCUAACUUCGUG